GCCGGGGUGGCGGAAUUGGUAGACGCACAGGACUUAAAAUCCUGCGGUGAGUUUUCACCGUGCCGGUUCGACUCCGGCCCUCGGCACUA
rnacentral:tRNA from 2 species